rnacentral:rRNA from 1 species
AGAGUUUGAUCCUGGCUCAGGACGAACGCUGGCGGCGUGCUUAACACAUGCAAGUCGAGCGGAAAGGCCCCUUCGGGGGUACUCGAGCGGCGAACGGGUGAGUAACACGUGAGCAACCUGCCCCUGACUCUGGGAUAAGCCUGGGGAACUGGGUCUAAUACUGGAUAUGACCAGCCUCCGCAUGGUGUGUUGGUGGAAAGUUUUUCGGUUGGGGAUGGGCUCGCGGCCUAUCAGCUUGUUGGUGGGGUGAUGGCCUACCAAGGCGACGACGGGUAACCGGCCUGAGAGGGCGACCGGUCACACUGGGACUGAGACACGGCCCAGACUCCUACGGGAGGCAGCAGUGGGGAAUAUUGCGCAAUGGGCGGAAGCCUGACGCAGCGACGCCGCGUGGGGGAUGACGGCCUUCGGGUUGUAAACCCCUUUCAGCAUCGACGAAGCUUCAUCCUUGCAGGGUGGGGUGACGGUAGGUGCAGAAGAAGCGCCGGCUAACUACGUGCCAGCAGCCGCGGUAAUAC